rnacentral:rRNA from 1 species
GGGGGACAGAGUGACAGGUGGUGCAUGGUUGUCGUCAGCUCGUGUCGUGAGAUGUUGGGUUAAGUCCCGCAACGAGCGCAACCCUUAAGCUUAGUUGCCAUCAUUAAGUUGGGCACUCUAAGUUGACUGCCGGUGACAAACCGGAGGAAGGUGGGGAUGACGUCAAAUCAUCAUGCCCCUUAUGAUUUGGGCUACACACGUGCUACAAUGGACAAUACAAAGGGCAGCGAAACCGCGAGGUCAAGCAAAUCCCAUAAAGUUGUUCUCAGUUCGGAUUGUAGUCUGCAACUCGACUAUAUGAAGCUGGAAUCGCUAGUAAUCGUAGAUCAGCAUGCUACGGUGAAUACGUUCCCGGGUCUUGUACACACCGCCCGUCACACCACGAGAGUUUGUAACACCCGAAGCCGGUGGAGUAACCAUUUGGAGCUAGCCGUCGAAGGUGGGACAAAUGAUUGGGGUGAAGUCGUAACAAGGUAGCCGUAUCGGAAGGUGCGGCUGGAUCACCUCCUUUCUAAGGA